AGGAAAAACUGAUUCAUAGAAGAAUUUGGUGACUUUCAAAAGGCCAGUGCUGUCAAUCUGAAAAAUAUCCUAGAGGGCUGCAGAGAAAGCAGAGAUCUCAUCUUAUCAAACAUCAGAGUUAGGUGAAAGUAAGAUGUUAUUGUGAGAUCUGGGAAGAGAUGAAAGAUUCUUAUGCUCUGUGAUCUGAACCAAAAAGUAAAAACAACAGGGAGAGGGCAGGGGCCAACAAUGAAAUGAUCCUCUAAGGGUGCAGACAGAAGUGACAAUUUUUGCCUGAUCUGUCCACAGAAAGCGCAUGGUUGCAGACUGCUUCAAAAAUGGCCUAUCAUGUGAAAAUCUGAACCCUUAAUGCACGAGGGUUCGGAUUAAGAUGUUUCAAAAGUGUCUUCUGUAGCUUGUGUCUGUGCUGCCUGCCAGCCUCCAAGCUGUCUUUAGAAUGCAAGGGGGAAAGGGAGCAGAGGGAGUUUGGUUUGGGGUUUUUUCAGCCCUGACUGGAGGGUGGGGUUGGGUGUAUUGGAGCCCCCCUGAAGAUGGAGGGGCUCCAAUUUACUCCCCCCCCCUCCCCUGUGCUGGCUCGGGAACCUCUAGAAUGAGCUCCCUCUGCUUACUUUCCCUCCUCCCAUUCUGAAACAGUGACAGGCUGAGAGGAUGUAUGGGCCAUUGCUAAGGGAAACUGGCUCCCCUGGAAUCUCUCCCCCGGAACCAACAGUGAACUUCUGUUUGGUCCUGGGGAAUCAUUGCAACUCAGAACACUUCCUGCAAAGUAUUCUGAGUUACAGUGGGGAGUGACAUUUCUGUCUGCAUCCUAAAUGUUCUCUCAUCAAACCCAGGAGAUAUGAUAAUCCUAAAUCAGAGAAAGUCUGUAGAGGCUUUACCUACAGAAACACGUUAGGAUCAGAGGACUUAAAAAUGCUCUUUACUUGAGCUAGGGGAGUGAUCCUCUCAUUCUUUUCCAAAGUCUUCUACAUUCUUUGUUGUCCCCAUAUUUUGACAGAUUAAUAAGAAAACUACGAAAUCUCUUGACUGAUCGUUGGAACUGAAACCCUUGGUAUCAAUGUAGGUCUUGAAUGUUUAAUAUUUGAGACCAGACUGCUGAGUUUUUGAAGCCAUUUAUAAAAAGAGGGAAAGGAAUUUUCCCUUCUACUUCUAGAAACAGUAAGACCAGAAAGUUUAAAGUCAUUUUGUACUUGGGUGUCAGUGUGUUCUGGUUGGAAUGUAGCCAGUACCUUUUUGAAGGAUUUGUCAUAUCUCCUCAUAUGCACACACCUUUUGAGCUGACUAAAAAUAUACUUAUCUAUUAUUCAACAAUCUCUUCAUCUUUCACCUUGCUGCUGGGUUGCCUUGUAAAACUUUAACAAAAAGCUCAUUUGAUGGAAGUGAAGAUAAGGAGCCAGAUCCUAAUGUGGAUUCCUUCUGUAGAGUACUUUGUGGAACCCAUAUAGUUGAUCUGUUUUUUUUCAAAAAACUUUUAGAGAACAUUCAUCUGUGAAAAGAAAGAACUGGUCAGAUUUCAUAUAUGGUUGGCAUGUAUAGCAUAGAACAAAGUAUUCUUUCAACCUUACAAUUAAAAAUAAAUCGUAUUGCAAAAAUAGUGGACUAAGAUCUAGUAUUUAGGCAUAGAAAACCAAUUGCUUUACAGACUGAUGUACUGAGUAGAGCUGGUCUGAAAUUUUCUGCUGAAAUGCAUUUUAAUUGAAACCUGCUGCUUCAUCAAAGAAUGUUUGGCAGAGAUGCAACAAAUUUGACAGUUCUGAACAAGAUGGAUUCUGAGAUGUAGCAUGGAAUCUAUGGUUAUGAGGGAGAGGAAUGACAAUCUGACCUCAUUGAUGCAAAAGGGGUAUUUUGAUACAUUUCUUGAUUUGCAAAAAAUAAUCAAAACAUUUUAUCUUUGUUCCCAUGUGGCAUGAAAACAAAUUUUAAAAAGUUGAGAGUUGCCGUGAAAUGGAAUUGCUGCCUUCUGGCCAGCUCUAAUUCUUUUCUUUUCUCAUACUUUUCUUUAUAGAAGUUCUCUCCAGAUGUAAUUCCUAUGUAAAUAAUAAAAUAUGUGACAGUGGAUUAGAAACUGUUAGCUACUAGUGUUAAGUGUGAUUUUGCCCUUAAUAUGGGCAAAGGACAGAUGCCUUUAAUAAUGUGCUACCUUGUCACACAACAGUUCUUGUCUGCUCCAAGGGCAAAAUUAUGUUUAACUCUGUGUUAGUUAAAAUGUAUGAGUUAAAAUGUUUUCUAACACUGCAUUUUCCCAGAGCAGCAAGGGUUUUAGCUAUUCUAAUUUUAUCUUCAGUAAUGGAUUCCUAAUUUUAUUGUUGUGGCUGUUUCUCCCUCAGGGAAUCUGGAAAUGAGAUUCAGCAUUUAAAAAGACCUUAGCUGUAAUAGACUUUUAAUAAAGAAAUCAAUAAAAAAAAGUAUUUUUGACUAUAAAUCCUAAGCAUUUUAAUAUAGUAACAUAAAAUGCUGUUAACAUUCUUUUAUUGCUAAUUUUUUCAGUGUUGUCUCAUUUAACCACUUAAUUGUCCAAGGAUGUUCAAAUAUACAUCUGGAAACUACCACAGAGACCCCUCUGGGUGGCAUUUGUUAAAUGUUUCACUAGAGUUCUAUGAGGUGUGCUAAAUGUUACAGAAGACUGUGUGGAUACUCAGGUGUCCAAGCAGCUUUAAAACAGAAGAAAGCUUUGUAGCCAGUGUAGGAUCAUGACGUUGUCACCAAGAGCCUGUUUUUAUUGUGGAGUAGCAUCAGACAUGUCCUCUGCUGAUAUACAAAUUAGUGAGAUGUCAAUCAAGGCCUGGAUGGAGGCUAAAGGGAGUGUGUUUGUGUACGGUUCUUUGAGAUUUCUUCAGAGAAUUGCAUACAGAGAUAAGCAAGAGUUUUUUAGCCUCUCAGAACAAGCAGAUCCCUGAAAAAUGUUGGAGGCCAAGAUGACCUGUGGAGAGCUGUUGUACCUCUUUGCUGACCCUGAAGCCUCCUUUGCUCUAUGGCUCUCCCUUGCAGCGUUAUGUGAACUGUUCAUAAUGUUUUAAGUGAAUAGGUGCUUAUGUGAAUAAAUACCUCAAGAUUUUUUAAGACCUGGUUACCACAGUGACCACCGCCUCUCUGCUAAUAGCAUUAGUGAGUAUUCGAGAAAUCAAAAAGCUGAAACUUAUAAGCAUCUUAAUUUACAUGUCUAGAGAGCAGCCAAAAAAUUGUCAUUUGCUGGGUCUUGUUUGCCAAGUAUCAGCCUAGAGCAAAUUUUUACAGCUGAGUCACAAGUGCCUGCUAAUAGGAAGCUGUGUACAACCACUGUACAGUUUUGCUGUUAAAAUUGUUUCUUUUGCAAAUGUGAAUCUGUUUAGUGACUAUUUCGUGAUGCUGCCAAAGAUUCUGGGUAGCUAGGCAGUUUUGCAGUCUCUGGAGUACGUCAAAAGUAUUGCUUUUUGUGACAUAAAUAUACUGUAUUUUUGAAGUAUAAAUCAACUCUGCAUAUAAGCUGACCCCACAUUUUCAGGUUCGGUAUUAAGAAAAACAGCUUUUCCCUUCAAUACAAGUCCAUAACUACAAAUAACUAUAGUUAUUGCCCCUAUAAAAUCCCAGGGAAUCAAAUAAUCAAAGGAAGGACACAAAAGAGGAAAUGCAUUAAAAUACUAGAAUAAAAACUAGACUGAAAAAAAUUCUAACUUGAUAUUUUUAUUGCAAGCAUAAAAAUGCUGCAAGUUCAGAAAUCAGGAUUGUCAGGUACUUGAUUGUCAGGCAUUUUUCAGGUCAAUCCCAUGUAUAAGUUGAACGCAAUUUUUGUGAUUCUUUUGGAGGAAAUAAAAGGUAGACAAACUCAGAACAAUAAGGUAAAUUCCAUCUCAUGACAUGAACAGACAUUUGCUCUCCCAGGAGACACUCUCCUCAGAGUGAUUUAACCCUGGUUGUUCCCAAGUUGUUUUUCUCCUGGAAUGGCUUUUGUAGUUUUCCUAUUAUUUUCUUAUUUACCUUGGAAGAGAAAGCCUGGACAUCUGUAUACUUGUAGCUUCUCCUGGGAGAGCAGUGACUCUCCCAGGAGAAACUGAAUGUCUGUUUAAGGCCUGAGCCUUAUUUAGGCAACUAGGAAUGUGAUUUGGAUCUGGCCCUCACUGCAAGUUAGUGGAUAGCCAGGCCUGCUGUGUACAGGUUUCCCCACCAGGGUUGCCAACUGUCCAUAAUUUUAUAGAUGGUCUGUAAAAAUCACACCUUGGAGGCACAGCCCUGCACCCAGAACCGUAACUGGAUAGGGGAAGGAGAGUGAAUGGGACAAUGGUAUCCCAGGUCAUUUAUGCUAACUGGACUCCUGCACCAGGGUGCAGUGAGCCCAUCCCUCAGCUACAAAAGCCAAGCUCAUGCUGCUCCACCAGGAGCUGAGGCAGCUGCCACCUGAGCAUAAACAGCAGCAGCAGGUAAGAUUCCACUCCCUCUCCCUUCACCCCUCUCCUGUUCCCUAGUGGUCAACAUAAUUCCCCUCUUCCCUACCAACCUCUGCCCUGGGUUCUGAGAAAUAUCUUGCUAUACCUCUGGGUGGAGGUCAGGGUUUAGGCUGGGAAGGGUGGUAUGGUGUGGGGGUGAAUACAGGACCUCCUGUACUGGGUUCAUUUGGAUAUAAAAGCCAUUGCUGCAGUUGCACAGGGUUGCCAACCCAAUUCAUUUUGUUUUUACUGAUAGUAAAAAUAUGUCAGUAAAACAUUUUGUAAAAAGUUUGCAGAUUGUCUAAAAAAAAAAAUUCUUGGGUAGUGCUUCCCACACAGUACUGCCAAGAAAAAUAAUGGCUCCUUGCAUUGCACUUUACAUCUUUACUGUGCCUUACAAACAUUAAAUGAAAUCCUAUCCUCACAAGAAGAGGCUGCUGCUGGCUUCACAUCUGGCAUGAGAGUUAUCCUGCUGGCUCAGAACAGGUUGGCUCAAAGCUGAUUGUGGGAACAUAGCCAGUCAGUGACUCUUGAUGCUGUUCCAAAAAAGGAGCAGCAUAUGACCCCAACUAGCACAAGUACACAACAGUACUUGCUGAAUGCAGUUCAGGUUACUCUAGCUAUGCAGUACAUGAUACCCACGUGGAGCAUGGCUGCGCAUGAUAACCAGGGCCAGUUUUAUUACAGAUAAAUUGUCCUCCCACAAUUGAGAUAUAACAUUAUUGCGAUCCUGUUAGGCGAUACUUAGAAAGUCCUAGUUUUGCAUAUUCAGUUUAUAUAGCGGCUACUUUGAAUUUAAAUAAGGAUGAAAACAGAGGCCUAGCAGGGCAGUGAUGGUGUAAAGGCAGCAGCCCCCGAAGGCAGUGUCCCUCCUGCUGUCUUGGUCACCCCCGCUCAGUUACACUACUGGAUGAAACUGUACUUGCAGGGCCUCUCUGGUGACUUGAUGAUGCAUGCGACUCUCUACAAUAAUGCAUUUAUUACCAUUGGUUUAAUUUGACCAUCUCACUUUCAAUCCUAUCUAAAUAGUUAAAAUAAAUAUAAAAAUAUUGUGGCUCAGGAUCUAUUGAAUUUCAUGUAAUGGGACACACACUUAAGUCAGGAGGAAAACAUUACAAAUCAUAUAUUUAUAGUAUACUGAUAAAGACUGUUCCCAGCUUCUUUAAAGCUGCUGAGUCACACCACUAUGAAGAAUACAUUUUUCUGGAGCAUCUCUUUAAAGUUGUAGUGGGGGACAAAGUGUUGUAUUUCAAAAGAUGCAUUGUGUUACAAUGUUCAGCAAGAAAGAACUCUGUCCUCUUACAAAUACUGUAAUACCUCAUCCAACAGUGCUUUUUCUAAUUGGAUAUAAAGUGUUUUGGGAUCUUAUUGAUGAAUUACCUGCCUUUUUAAUUAUUGAUGUUGCAGGUUUAAGAUUUGCUCUGGCUCCCCUAAAGGCAAUGAUAAAACUAGCAUUGACAGAACUUAUUGUAAGAAAGGGAUUGCCUUAUGGAUCUUUAGGUGUAAAUAUUUCAGUUUAUAAGUUUGUUUUUUGCAGGAAUGGAAGUUAGCUGGUGCACACUCUGCUGGCCAGCGAGGUUUCUGUAGAGAACAUUCUUCAUUAGAUUAAAAAAAUGUAUUUGCUUUAUGCAUUUCUACAAGUGUUUCAUGUACGUGACAGAUUUUUUGCAUCCACAUUGAUUGUGUCUAGUGCCAAUUUUUUUUAAUCGGCAUGUCAUAUGGUACUAGAUUAAAACCUUAUGGAAACUAUUGAAUCAAAGGAGUUACUUUUUAUUAACCAAACUUUUGACCUCAAAGGAUGAUAUUGCUUUGUUUGAUAGCCCUAUCUUCCAUUAAAGUUUAUGGGGCAUAAUUCCCCAUCUGUAAAAUUAAGGCAAUAAACAUUCUUUCCUUCUUCCUUUUUUCUAUUUCCAUUAUCUGUACUUCAGGGCAGGGACUCUGACACAUUUGCUCUUCAUAUAUGCGAGGUGCUUAGUACAAUAGGGCCUUGACCUAAAGGGGUUUUCAUAGCCAUUACUGUAAUACAAAUAAGUAAUAACUUAUGAAACCUUCAUAGAUUAUCAUAGGUGAUCUGGGUGAGGCAAGUAUUUCAACACCUCACUUAAAAAUUGCCUUGUUUUGUAUAUUUAAGUUGGAACCAAAAGGCAUCUUUUCAGUUUGAUAUCUGCAGAUGCAACUUCUAUUAUAGUCAACCAUUUAAUAUUUCAGAGAUUUCAUUAAUUUACUUAUCUAAUUUAUUGUACAGUAAUGCAAUAUUUUGGAAUUUUGUCUUGUUGAUCAUGUUAUCUUGUAAGACUGUUGUCAUGGGGUUACUAUAUGAUGCUUGCACAAUAUCUAAACCAAACAUUUAACACUAAUUAGAGUUCCUCAUUUUCUGGGCAUUAAGUUUGAAACCUUGGGGUCUGAUUUGCAGGUGUGCUCAGCACUCACAGGUGCAAUUGAAGUACAAACAAGGACACAAAAUACUGAAUAGAGUUUCUUUGUUGACUCUUCCCAUCCUAUGUCUGGAAUAAGAUGAGGAUAUUGUAGAAAAUAUUAUGUGAUUGUGAAAUUAAAACCUAUAUCCUAAUUCAUGUGUGCACAAACGCAGACACACUCAAAAAGGCACAGGCAACUUAAAUUAGAAAAUGCCAGAAUUCUUGACUGCUUGACUUCAUUCUUUUAGUUCAGUUUUUUGUCUGUCUCUGAUAUACAGUGGCCACAUGUACAUGAGACACUGGCUGCACAGUAGCCUGAUACUCCUGUGACAUGACACUACUGUGCAGUAGUAUUAGACUACUGUGCAACAGCGUCACAAAAAAGAUGUUCAUCAGCACAACUGCUCAGUAACUCAGGUUACUGUGCAGUCAUUCAGUACUUGCUUAUACAAGUAUACAAGCAUCUUGUGUAGAUGAGGCCAGUAUAUUUGUAGAUGUGUGUGUUCUGAGAAGAAUAGCAAGAUUAGCAUGUCCCCAGUACUCAGUGAGCCUGGUAAGCAGGGAGAGUGUUGUGAACCUCACCAAAUUUAUCCUGUUACUAUAUCACUUAUUAUUUACCAGCUCCUUUCAUUUUCCCCAGGAUUGUCAUUGAAGGCAGAAAGUUUUUGUCGUGCUGGAAAAGAAGAGGACUUGCACCCUCUAUGGGCUUUUCUUUUUAUUGCUCAAAUUGACUAGCUAGUGUCGUGGAAACACACACAGAGUACUUUUGGGUCAGGUCAGCAGAAGCUUUUAUUCAAAAGAAACUACAGCUGUAGGGGGAGUUCCAAAGUGACAUGGAUUUCCCAAGCACUUGGAAGGGGUCCCCCCCCAAGAGCAAAAUCAGGAGGCUUAUAUACUUUUUAACAGUCGCUUACAACUCAUGUGAUCAUAUAGUGAAAUUAGCAUGAAAAGCGGCUAUAAUAUUACUUCAUUAUUUCUUUGCUGUAAUCAGGAUGGGAAUUAUGGGGGAGGUGAGGUUAGUUCACAAACCUCCUUCUUGCACCUGGAAAUCUACUUUGUACAUACUUUUUUUUUUUUGCUACCUUCAAGGCCGCGGUGAGCGAAGCAGUUGCAGAAGAGUUACAAAGAACAAACACUUGCCCUUAUCUGUUCUACUGUACAGAGCCAGCAAUUCUACACAAAGCGGUUAUGUCAUCUUAUAAAUAAAAUAAUCAAAGUUUAA